rnacentral:tRNA from 1 species
GGGAUAUUAACUCAGUUGGUUCAGAGUGUCACGUCGACAACGUGGAAGUCACUGGUUCGAAUCCAGUAUGUCCCACAA